rnacentral:snRNA from 1 species
UCACCAAGUGUUGGAUUGUUCACCCACCAA